UUAAGUUAUUAAGGGCGCACGGUGGAUGCCUUGGCACUAGAAGCCGAUGAAGGACGUUACUAACGACGAUAUGCUUUGGGGAGCUGUAAGUAAGCUUUGAUCCAGAGAUUUCCGAAUGGGGAAACCCAGCAUGAGUUAUGUCAUGUUAUCGAUAUGUGAAUACAUAGCAUAUCAGAAGGCACACCCGGAGAACUGAAACAUCUUAGUACCCGGAGGAAGAGAAAGAAAAUUCGAUUCCCUUAGUAGCGGCGAGCGAAACGGGAAGAGCCCAAACCAACAAGCUUGCUUGUUGGGGUUGUAGGACACUCUAUACGGAGUUACAAAGGACGACAUUAGACGAAUCAUCUGGAAAGAUGAAUCAAAGAAGGUAAUAAUCCUGUAGUCGAAAAUGUUGUCUCUCUUGAGUGGAUCCUGAGUACGACGGAGCACGUGAAAUUCCGUCGGAAUCUGGGAGGACCAUCUCCUAAGGCUAAAUACUCUCUAGUGACCGAUAGUGAACCAGUACCGUGAGGGAAAGGUGAAAAGCACCCCGGAAGGGGAGUGAAACAGAACCUGAAACCGUGUGCUUACAAGUAGUCAGAGCCCGUUAAUGGGUGAUGGCGUGCCUUUUGUAGAAUGAACCGGCGAGUUACGAUUUGAUGCAAGGUUAAGCAGUAAAUGUGGAGCCGUAGCGAAAGCGAGUCUGAAUAGGGCGUUUAGUAUUUGGUCGUAGACCCGAAACCAGGUGAUCUACCCUUGGUCAGGUUGAAGUUCAGGUAACACUGAAUGGAGGACCGAACCGACUUACGUUGAAAAGUGAGCGGAUGAACUGAGGGUAGCGGAGAAAUUCCAAUCGAACCUGGAGAUAGCUGGUUCUCUCCGAAAUAGCUUUAGGGCUAGCCUCAAGUGAUGAUUAUUGGAGGUAGAGCACUGUUUGGACGAGGGGCCCCUCUCGGGUUACCGAAUUCAGACAAACUCCGAAUGCCAAUUAAUUUAACUUGGGAGUCAGAACAUGGGUGAUAAGGUCCGUGUUCGAAAGGGAAACAGCCCAGACCACCAGCUAAGGUCCCAAAAUAUAUGUUAAGUGGAAAAGGAUGUGGCGUUGCCCAGACAACUAGGAUGUUGGCUUAGAAGCAGCCAUCAUUUAAAGAGUGCGUAAUAGCUCACUAGUCGAGUGACACUGCGCCGAAAAUGUACCGGGGCUAAACAUAUUACCGAAGCUGUGGAUUGUCCUUUGGACAAUGGUAGGAGAGCGUUCUAAGGGCGUUGAAGCAUGAUCGUAAGGACAUGUGGAGCGCUUAGAAGUGAGAAUGCCGGUGUGAGUAGCGAAAGACGGGUGAGAAUCCCGUCCACCGAUUGACUAAGGUUUCCAGAGGAAGGCUCGUCCGCUCUGGGUUAGUCGGGUCCUAAGCUGAGGCCGACAGGCGUAGGCGAUGGAUAACAGGUUGAUAUUCCUGUACCACCUAUAAUCGUUUUAAUCGAUGGGGGGACGCAGUAGGAUAGGCGAAGCGUGCGAUUGGAUUGCACGUCUAAGCAGUAAGGCUGAGUAUUAGGCAAAUCCGGUACUCAUUAAGGCUGAGCUGUGAUGGGGAGAAGACAUUGUGUCUUCGAGUCGUUGAUUUCACACUGCCGAGAAAAGCCUCUAGAUAGAAAAUAGGUGCCCGUACCGCAAACCGACACAGGUAGUCAAGAUGAGAAUUCUAAGGUGAGCGAGCGAACUCUCGUUAAGGAACUCGGCAAAAUGACCCCGUAACUUCGGGAGAAGGGGUGCUCUUUAGGGUUAACGCCCAGAAGAGCCGCAGUGAAUAGGCCCAAGCGACUGUUUAUCAAAAACACAGGUCUCUGCUAAACCGUAAGGUGAUGUAUAGGGGCUGACGCCUGCCCGGUGCUGGAAGGUUAAGAGGAGUGGUUAGCUUCUGCGAAGCUACGAAUCGAAGCCCCAGUAAACGGCGGCCGUAACUAUAACGGUCCUAAGGUAGCGAAAUUCCUUGUCGGGUAAGUUCCGACCCGCACGAAAGGCGUAACGAUUUGGGCACUGUCUCAACGAGAGACUCGGUGAAAUCAUAGUACCUGUGAAGAUGCAGGUUACCCGCGACAGGACGGAAAGACCCCGUGGAGCUUUACUGUAGCCUGAUAUUGAAAUUCGGCACAGCUUGUACAGGAUAGGUAGGAGCCUUUGAAACGUGAGCGCUAGCUUACGUGGAGGCGCUGGUGGGAUACUACCCUAGCUGUGUUGGCUUUCUAACCCGCACCACUUAUCGUGGUGGGAGACAGUGUCAGGCGGGCAGUUUGACUGGGGCGGUCGCCUCCUAAAAGGUAACGGAGGCGCUCAAAGGUUCCCUCAGAAUGGUUGGAAAUCAUUCAUAGAGUGUAAAGGCAUAAGGGAGCUUGACUGCGAGACCUACAAGUCGAGCAGGGUCGAAAGACGGACUUAGUGAUCCGGUGGUUCCGCAUGGAAGGGCCAUCGCUCAACGGAUAAAAGCUACCCCGGGGAUAACAGGCUUAUCUCCCCCAAGAGUUCACAUCGACGGGGAGGUUUGGCACCUCGAUGUCGGCUCAUCGCAUCCUGGGGCUGUAGUCGGUCCCAAGGGUUGGGCUGUUCGCCCAUUAAAGCGGUACGCGAGCUGGGUUCAGAACGUCGUGAGACAGUUCGGUCCCUAUCCGUCGUGGGCGUAGGAAAUUUGAGAGGAGCUGUCCUUAGUACGAGAGGACCGGGAUGGACAUACCUCUGGUGUACCAGUUGUCGUGCCAACGGCAUAGCUGGGUAGCUAUGUGUGGACGGGAUAAGUGCUGAAAGCAUCUAAGCAUGAAGCCCCCCUCAAGAUGAGAUUUCCCAACUUCGGUUAUAAGAUCCCUCAAAGAUGAUGAGGUUAAUAGGUUCGAGGUGGAAGCAUGGUGACAUGUGGAGCUGACGAAUACUAAUCGAUCGAAGACUUAAUCAA
rnacentral:rRNA from 67 species